UACGAAGGGGGCUAGCGUUGCUCGGAAUCACUGGGCGUAAAGCGCACGUAGGCGGACUCUUAAGUCGGUGGUGAAAUCCUGGAGCUCAACUCCAGAACUGCCUUCGAUACUGAGAGUCUUGAGUCCGGGAGAGGUGAGUGGAACUGCGAGUGUAGAGGUGAAAUUCGUAGAUAUUCGCAAGAACACCAGUGGCGAAGGCGGCUCACUGGCCCGGUACUGACGCUGAGGUGCGAAAGGCGUGGGGAGCGAACAGG
rnacentral:rRNA from 1 species